AUGUCAGCACUGCGCUUUGGCAUCGGUAUUCUCACCAACAACGUGCAACCAAGGAAGGCUUUGGCCUCUUUGCUUCACCUAGUUGGUUGGGAGAUCUGGAAGGAAAGGAAUGGAUGCGUCUUUAGGGCCAAGGCAAGACCGGUGACGGUGAUCAUGUGCAACAUUAAGGAUGAAGUGUCUAUAUGGGCCCUAGCUGGGGUUAGGCACUUGAGUAAUGUAAUGAUGCGAGAGUAG
rnacentral:rRNA from 1 species